AGCUAAAAGCCUUUACCAGAAAUAGAAUUUGGUCGAUCACUCACGAAGAAGACUGCUUUAUAUAGGAUCUGCGUUGCCCUGAGAUGUUAAAAAUAGCUAGCAUGGAACUAGAGGUAUGGAACAGAGUGUUGUAAGCGCAGUGUGUGUAUACCAGGCCGGGGGAGAUGUGGGUAUGGGGCAGAGGUAGCUGCUCCGGAUGACAAGCAUUGACAAUCAGCAGUCUCGUGAACGCUAUGACGUCAAAUGACGACACAACAGGCAUCAGUUGGGACUCCGUUGCCACUAGCAACGAUUUGCGUAGGUGUGCUUGAGUAAUCGAUGAAGAAGAUACUUGUGGUUCUCUAUAUGUAGUCGGAAUUGUGUUGUCGUAUUAAACGAUGUUACGAUGCACACCCGAUUCCUCUGACAUAUCCUGCCAGCAAGACAUACUACCAUACCACACGAUAGAUGUCCUCGACGAUGCUUGCAGCAAAAAAAGAAGCAACAGCUUUCCAAAGUUAUGGCCUUGUUGUCACAAUCAAUGUUGAAUAUAUUUUCAAUUGAAGAUCUAUAACUAUUUUUAUUGUAUGAAGUGCUUCAGUUUAA